AAGGCAAAAGAAGAAAGAAGACAGAGGAGACAAGGAGCAAAAGGAAGGAGAAAGGAAACAACAAGAACAGUGAGGACCACAGGAAGAAAAAGAGCAUCAAGAUGUUAAAAGUAAAGGAGGAUAUGGAAAUUUAAAUGCUACUUUGGUUUAAGAUGCCAAACAUCUGACAACUUCAAAAGAAAGAGAGGAAGAUGAGGAAGUGGACCCCAGAGGCCAUGGGAUAGGCCAUGCAGGAGUUGGAGGCAGGCAGGCUCACUUGCAGGCAGGCAGCCAAUGGUUUGGGUCCCAAAGUCCUGCCUGAAUGACUGAGUCGGUGGAAGGGUGGCCUUUGGCUGUGUCCAUGGUCAGAGGCCAUUUCUCACCCCUGAAGAUGAAAAUUCUGAGUACUGUUUGUAUUAUGCCAGUCAUGGAUUUCCAUUCACAAAGCCUCAGGUCCUGGCCCAUGCUCUGGCCAUUUGUAACCACUGACACCCAAAUGCACAGAAGACUGUGGUUGGCCAGAUGUGGUGGAUUAAUUUUAGAUAAUGGCACCACCUCACUGCCCGGACCCCAGACAUCAUUGACUAUGGGAAGGCAUCCUGUGCCAAAAGGGAGCCCAUAAAUUGAUAUUUCAGGCUCCUCACUGCCACCCUGAAGGAACACGGCUUGAGGGAGAAACCCUGUCAGAUCUACAACUGAGAUGAGAUGGGGUUUCAGCUGGACUCCAUGAGCAGGAAGGUCAUCGUGCCCCGAGGGACCACACACACAUAUAAGCAGGAUGAGGGAACCAGGGACCACAUCACCAUCCUGGUCUGCUUUAAUGCGGCUGGGGAGGAUGUCCCCCCUUUCAUCAUCUACAAGGGAUCAUAUCCAGGGUUCCCUAUAAAAAGGAAGGGAUCCCUGAUGGCCUCUAUGGUAUGUUGCUGGCAGGGUACAUGGAUGGUGAGCUAUUUAGAAAGUAGUGUGUCAGGCAUUUCCUGAAGUUCACUGCCCAGGAUCGCCCACUGCUGCUGAUCAUGAAUGGACACCAGUCCCACCUGGAUCCAGAGCUGGUCCAGGCGGCACAGUGGGAGGGGGUCAUUCUCCUGUGACUUUCACCUCAUAUGUCUCACAACCUGUAGCCUCUGGAUGUGAGUUUCUUUGGACCCUUGAGGGCAGAUUUCUCUGAUCUUACAGGACUUCUGUUGGCUGUGAGUCACUCUUUCUUGGUUUUCAAUAAUGAGUUUCACGGGUCCUUAGAAACUCAUACCAGAGGCUUAAAGAUCUGAGAGUGGUGUUGGCUGGGUUGAGGAGGUGCGGCCUCUACCCUCUGGACCCAAAGGCCAUUGACUGGCCUUGGGUCACACUGUCCGAGCUGCAGCAUGGGACCUCCUCACCACCUCUGCCAACCCUAUCAGCAUCUUCCUGGGCCAUGCCUGAUGCUACCCAAGUCACAGAAUUAAUUGUGCCAGCAACCUGUUAUUACCACCUGUGGCAGCAGAGGCCGCUGUUGCCACUGCUCAGCAAAAGUUACAUAGUCUUGCUUUAAAGGCUAUUUGCUGUUCUAGUAGUAAACAAAUUAAAGGCAUCAUAUACAAAUCAGUGAAUAUGUGACGAUUAGCCUGUGAG